rnacentral:misc_RNA from 1 species
GGAGAACCUGCGGUUGGAUCACCUCCUUUCUAGAGUACAAAUAGAUAUUCUCUCACAAGAUAUCUAUAAGAAAGAUAUAAGUGUUAAUAUUUAUACUUAUAGUGUAAUAGACAACUAACUCAAUCAUCCUUGUUUAGUUUUCAGAGAUUGUUUUAAAAUUAGUAAUAGAGCUAAAGGGGAAUUAGCUCAGCUGGGAGAGCGCCUGCUUUGCACGCAGGAGGUCAGCGGUUCGAUCCCGCUAUUCUCCACCAUAAGGGCCUGUAGCUCAGCUGGUUAGAGUGCACCCCUGAUAAGGGUGAGGUCAUAAGUUCAAGUCUUAUCAGGCCCACCAUUAAAAAAAUAUAAAAAGUAUUUUUAUACAAAGUUUAUAUAAUACAAUAGUUUAACAAGAAAGUAUUUUAUAAUAAAAAUAACUAUAUUUUAAAUAAUAGUUUUUUAUUAAAAUAAACUAUUUUUAAUUUUAAAAACAGUUUAUUUUAUAAAUUAUCUUUUAAUUUUAUAAAAAUAUAAGUAUUAUUAGAUAAAAUACCAAACUUUAUUUUUUAUUGUAAAGUUUAAUUAGAGAGUUAAACAAUAAAGUUGAUAAAAAAUCAAUUAUCUCUUAUAUGUUAAUUUUCUAAUUAGAUUUUAUAAUCUAAAUGUUAUUUAAAUUAUCAUUGUUAAAAGUCACAAAAAGUUUUAAUAAAAUAAAACAAUUUUACAGGACUUGUUAAAGCUUUAUAUCUAUAUAGAUAUAAAAGCAAAUCUUUUAAGUUUAACUGUUAUCAAAUUUAAAAGUUUAAAGAUUAUACACGAAACAAUAAAGUUUUUAAAACUUACUUUAUAGUUUAUAAUCUCUUUCCGUCUUAAUUUAUAUGAUAUAAACAUUAUAAAAUAAAUCAUUAUUUUAUCUUUAACAAGGAAGUGAUGCGAAUUAGAAUAUCAACAUAAUAAAUAAUUCUAAUAAGACUUCAUUAAGCGAUAACAUCUAUCUAUAUAUAAUACGAAGUUGCUUUAGCAACUUUGUGCUUUAGGUGGUUCAAAGGAGUGUUUACACUCCUUGUCGCAAUAAGAGCUUUGCUCUUAUGAGAAGUCAAAAAAAGGUAAGCUACUAAGAGCGAAUGGUGGAUGCCUUGGUUGGUAGAGGCGAUGAAAGACGUGCUAGACUGCGAUAAGUCUCGGGGAGUUGUCAAGGAGCUUUGAUCCGGGA